rnacentral:rRNA from 1 species
AUUGAACGCUGGCGGCAUGCCUUACACAUGCAAGUCGAACGGCAGCACGGGUGCUUGCACCUGGUGUCGAGUGGCGAACGGGUGAUUAAUACAUCGUAACAUUUCCUGUAGUGGGGGAUAGCCCGUCGAAAGCCGGAUUAUUACCGCAUACGAUCUACGGAUGAAAGCGGGGGCCCUUCGGGCCUCGCGCUAUGGGGUUUGCCGAUGGCUGAUUAGCUAGUUGGAGGGGUAAAGGCCUACCAAGGCGACGAUCAGUAGCUGGUCUGAGAGGACGACAAGCCAAACUGGGACUGAGACACGGCCAAGACUCCUACGGGAGGCAGCAGUGGGGAAUUUUGGACAAUGGGCGAAAGCCUGAUCCAGCAAUGCCGCGUGUGUGAAGAAGGCAUUCGGGUUGUAAAGCACUUUUGUCCGGAAAGAAAUCCUUGGCCCUAAUACGGUCGGGGGAUGACGGUACCGGAAGAAUAAGCACCGGCUAACUACGUG